rnacentral:pre_miRNA from 1 species
GGCCGCCAUUUUGGAUUCGGGGUAUUACGAAAUAAGUUGCCCCGUGUAGAUGCGUUAUUCUGAGAGAAAACCCUUCUCUUGGAAUAACUGUUAAACCUCAUUGCACGAGGAAUAACAGUUAUUCUGAGAGAAGGAUUUUCUCUCGGAAUAAUGCAUCUACAUGGGGCAACUUAUUUCGCAAUACCCCAAAUCCAAAAUGGCGGCU